rnacentral:rRNA from 1 species
UACGUAGGGGGCAAGCGUUGUCCGGAAUCAUUGGGCGUAAAGAGCGUGUAGGCGGUUCGGUAAGUCGGCUGUGAAAGUCCAGGGCUCAACCCUGGGAUUGCGGUCGAUACUGCCGGACUAGAGUUCGGAAGAGGCGAGUGGAAUUCCCGGUGUAGCGGUGAAAUGCGCAGAUAUCGGGAGGAACACCUGUGGCGAAGGCAGCUCGCUGGGACGUUACUGACGCUGAGACGCGAAAGCCAGGGGAGCAAACGGG